UGCUCUUAUGAGUUAGCGGCGGACGGGUGAGUAACACGUGGGUAACCUGCCCAUAAGACUGGGAUAACUCCGGGAAACCGGGGCUAAUACCGGAUAACAUUUUGAACCGCAUGGUUCGAAAUUGAAAGGCGGCUUCGGCUGUCACUUAUGGAUGGACCCGCGUCGCAUUAGCUAGUUGGUGAGGUAACGGCUCACCAAGGCAACGAUGCGUAGCCGACCUGAGAGGGUGAUCGGCCACACUGGGACUGAGACACGGCCCAGACUCCUACGGGAGGCAGCAGUAGGGAAUCUUCCGCAAUGGACGAAAGUCUGACGGAGCAACGCCGCGUGAGUGAUGAAGGCUUUCGGGUCGUAAAACUCUGUUGUUAGGGAAGAACAAGUGCUAGUUGAAUAAGCUGGCACCUUGACGGUACCUAACCAGAAAGCCACGGCUAACUACGUGCCAGCAGCCGCGGUAAUACGUAGGUGGCAAGCGUUAUCCGGAAUUAUUGGGCGUAAAGCGCGCGCAGGUGGUUUCUUAAGUCUGAUGUGAAAGCCCACGGCUCAACCGUGGAGGGUCAUUGGAAACUGGGAGACUUGAGUGCAGAAGAGGAAAGUGGAAUUCCAUGUGUAGCGGUGAAAUGCGUAGAGAUAUGGAGGAACACCAGUGGCGAAGCGACUUUCUGGUCUGUAACUGACACUGAGGCGCGAAAGCGUGGGGAGCAAACAGGAUUANAUACCCUGGUUAUUCCACGCCNAAAACAAUGAGUGCUAAUGGUUAAAAGGGGUUCCCCCCUUUUAGCGGCUGAAGGUNUUNCAUUAACAAUUUCGUCUGGUGGGGNAGGG
rnacentral:rRNA from 1 species